rnacentral:rRNA from 1 species
CCUACGGGUGGCAGCAGUGAGGAAUAUUGGUCAAUGGACGAGAGUCUGAACCAGCCAAGUAGCGUGAAGGAUGACUGCCCUAUGGGUGGUAAACUUCGUUUAUAAAGGAAUAAAACGAGGCACGUGUGCCUUUUUGCAUGUACUUUAUGAAUAAGGAUCGGCUAACUCCGUGCCAGCCGCCGCGGUAAUACGGAGGAGGCGAGCUUUACCCGGAUUUGUUGGGUUUAAAGGGUGCGUAGGGGGGUUAUCAAGUCAGCGGUAAAAUCGUGGAGCUCAACUCCAUCCAGCCGUUGAAACUGAUGAUCUUGAGUGGGCGAGAAGUAUGCGGAAUGCGUGGUGUAGCGGUGAAAUGCGUAGAUAUCACGCAGAACUCCGGUUGCGAAGGCAGCAAACCGGCGCACGACUGACGCUGAAGCACGAAAGCGUGGGUAUCGAACAGGAUUAGAUACCCUGGUAGUC